rnacentral:rRNA from 1 species
AGAGUUUGAUCAUGGCUCAGAAUGAACGUUGGCGGCGUGGAUUAGGCAUGCAAGUCGAGCGAUCAUCAGCAAUGGUGAGAGCGGCGAACGGCGUAGGAAUUCAUAGGAACGUACCCUCAGGUCGGGGAUAGCUAUGGGAAACUGUAGGUAAUACCCGAUGAUCUCUGCGGAGCAAAGGUGUGAUUCCGCCUGAGGAGCGGCUUAUGCGAUAUUAGCUAGUUGGUGGGGUAAUGGCCUACCAAGGCAACGAUGUCUAGGGGGUGUGAGAGCAUGGCCCCCACGACCGGAACUGAGAUACUGUCCGGACACCUACGGGUGGCUGCAGUCGAGAAUCUUCCGCAAUGGACGAAAGUCUGACGGAGCGACGCCGCGUGCGGGAUGAAGGCCCUUGGGUUGUAAACCGCUGUCAGAGGGGAUGAAAUCUUCGGAGGUACUCCUCCGAAGUUGACAGAGCCUCAAAGGAAGCACGGGCUAAGUACGUGCCAGCAGCCGCGGUAACACGUACUGUGCGAACGUUAUUCGGAAUCACUGGGCUUAAAGGGUGCGUAGGCGGCAAUUCAAGUCAGGUGUGAAAUGCCUGAGCUCAACUGAGGCAUUGCGCUUGAAACUGAUUUGCUAGAGUAUCCCAGGGGUGUGCGGAACUGCCAGUGGAGCGGUGAAAUGUGUUGAUAUUGGCAGGAACACCGGAGGCGAAAGC